GAAUUCGCCCUUAGAGUUUGAUCCUGGCUCAGGACGAACGCUGGCGGCGCGCCUAACACAUGCAAGUCGAACGAGCGAGAGAGAGCUUGCUUUCUCGAGCGAGUGGCGAACGGGUGAGUAACGCGUGAGGAACCUGCCUCAAAGAGGGGGACAACAGUUGGAAACGACUGCUAAUACCGCAUAAGCCCACGGCUCGGCAUCGAGCAGAGGGAAAAGGAGCAAUCCGCUUUGAGAUGGCCUCGCGUCCGAUUAGCUAGUUGGUGAGGUAAUGGCCCACCAAGGCGACGAUCGGUAGCCGGACUGAGAGGUUGAACGGCCACAUUGGGACUGAGACACGGCCCAGACUCCUACGGGAGGCAGCAGUGGGGAAUAUUGCACAAUGGGGGAAACCCUGAUGCAGCGACGCCGCGUGGAGGAAGAAGGUCUUCGGAUUGUAAACUCCUGUUGUUGGGGAAGAUAAUGACGGUACCCAACAAGGAAGUGACGGCUAACUACGUGCCAGCAGCCGCGGUAAAACGUAGGUCACAAGCGUUGUCCGGAAUUACUGGGUGUAAAGGGAGCGCAGGCGGGAAGACAAGUUGGAAGUGAAAUCUAUGGGCUCAACCCAUAAACUGCUUUCAAAACUGUUUUUCUUGAGUAGUGCAGAGGUAGGCGGAAUUCCCGGUGUAGCGGUGGAAUGCGUAGAUAUCGGGAGGAACACCAGUGGCGAAGGCGGCCUACUGAGCACCAACUGACGCUGAGGCUCGAAAGUGUGGGUAGCAAACAGGAUUAGAUACCCUGGUAGUCCACACCGUAAACGAUGAUUACUAGGUGUUGGAGGAUUGACCCCUUCAGUGCCGCAGUUAACACAAUAAGUAAUCCACCUGGGGAGUACGACCGCAAGGUUGAAACUCAAAGGAAUUGACGGGGGCCCGCACAAGCAGUGGAGUAUGUGGUUUAAUUCGACGCAACGCGAAGAACCUUACCAAGUCUUGACAUCCCUUGACAGGCAUAGAAAUAUGUUUUCUCUUCGGAGCGAGGAGACAGGUGGUGCAUGGUUGUCGUCAGCUCGUGUCGUGAGAUGUUGGGUUAAGUCCCGCAACGAGCGCAACCCUUAUGGUCAGUUACUACGCAAGAGGACUCUGGCCAGACUGCCGUUGACAAAACGGAGGAAGGUGGGGAUGACGUCAAAUCAUCAUGCCCUUUAUGACUUGGGCUACACACGUACUACAAUGGCGUUAAACAAAGAGAAGCAAGACCGCGAGGUGGAGCAAAACUCAGAAACAACGUCCCAGUUCGGACUGCAGGCUGCAACUCGCCUGCACGAAGUCGGAAUUGCUAGUAAUCGUGGAUCAGCAUGCCACGGUGAAUACGUUCCCGGGCCUUGCACACACCGCCCGUCA
rnacentral:rRNA from 1 species